rnacentral:lncRNA from 1 species
CGCAAACGUUUUGGCAAAAAUCCUGAACGUACACGUCAUCAGAAGUGAGCAAUAAGUAGACGCCACUUUUCGGGUUUAACGGCAACGGUCGGGCACGAGCUGUAACGGCGGAUUUUAUCACUGACUGUACAGUUAACCGGGUUAAGGAUUUACCGUGUGAGUAAAACCGGUCGUUUUUCUCUUCGCCGAGGUGGACAUUACGGGAGAUAUUGGCUCCGGUCUGAUCAGUGUAAAGCCUUUUCGGGUUUAACGGCAACGGUCGGGCACGAGCUGUAACGGCGGAUUUUAUCACUGACUGUACAGUUAACCGGGUUAAGGAUUUACCGUGUGAGUAAAACCGGUCGUUUUUCUCUUCGCCGAGGUGGACAUUACGGGAGAUAUUGGCUCCGGUCUGAUCAGUGUAAAGCUGGACCGUUUUCCACCAACCGGCAACUGAAGGCGGUUUAGAAUCGUAGGCCGAGAAUGAGCUGAUGAAAUCGCGUAUAAUACGCUUCUGGGACUUUCCCCACC